rnacentral:rRNA from 1 species
GAUGAACGCUGGCGGCGUGCCUAAUACAUGCAAGUCGAGCGAACGGACGAGAAGCUUGCUUCUCUGAUGUUAGCGGCGGACGGGUGAGUAACACGUGGAUAACCUACCUAUAAGACUGGGAUAACUUCGGGAAACCGGAGCUAAUACCGGAUAAUAUUUUGAACCGCAUGGUUCAAAAGUGAAAGACGGUCUUGCUGUCACUUAUCGAUGGAUCCGCGCUGCAUUAGCUAGUUGGUAAGGUAACGGCUUACCAAGGCAACGAUGCAUAGCCGACCUGAGAGGGUGAUCGGCCACACUGGAACUGAGACACGGUCCAGACUCCUACGGGAGGCAGCAGUAGGGAAUCUUCCGCACUGGGCGAAAGCCUGACGGAGCAACGCCGCGUGAGUGAUGAAGGUCUUCGGAUCGUAAAACUCUGUUAUUAGGGAAGAACAUAUGUGUAAGUAACUGUGCACAUCUUGACGGUACCUAAUCAGAAAGCCACGGCUAACUACGUG